rfam:Chelonia mydas contig229670, whole genome shotgun sequence.
CCUUCGAUAGCUCAGCUGGUAGAGCGGAGGACUGUAGAGGUGCUGCCUAUGGGAAUCCUUAGGUCGCUGGUUCGAUUCCGGCUCGAAGGA